rnacentral:rRNA from 1 species
AGAGUUUGAUCCUGGCUCAGGACGAACGCUGGCGGCGUGCUUAACACAUGCAAGUCAAGCGGUAAGGCCUUUCGGGGGUACACGAGCGGCGAACGGGUGAGUAACACGUGGGUGACCUGCCCUCAGCUCUGGGAUAAGCCUGGGAAACUGGGUCUAAUACCGGAUAUGACCUUCUGUCGCAUGGCAGUGGGUGGAAAGUUUUUCGGCUGGGGAUGGGCCCGCGGCCUAUCAGCUUGUUGGUGGGGUGAUGGCCUACCAAGGCGACGACGGGUAGCCGGCCUGAGAGGGCGACCGGCCACACUGGGACUGAGACACGGCCCAGACUCCUACGGGAGGCAGCAGUGGGGAAUAUUGCGCAAUGGGCGAAAGCCUGACGCAGCGACGCCGCGUGGGGGAUGACGGCCUUCGGGUUGUAAACCUCUUUCGACCGGGACGAAGCGUAAGUGACGGUACCGGUAGAAGAAGCACCGGCCAACUACGUGCCAGCAGCCGCGGUAAUACGUAGGGUGCGAGCGUUGUCCGGAAUUAUUGGGCGUAAAGAGCUCGUAGGCGGUGUGUCGCGUCGGUCGUGAAAACUUGGGGGCUCAACCCUGAGCUUGCGGUCGAUACGGGCAUCACUUGAGUUCGGCAGGGGAGACUGGAAUUCCUGGUGUAGCGGUGAAAUGCGCAGAUAUCAGGAGGAACACCGGUGGCGAAGGCGGNNCNNNNGGCCGAUACUGACGCUGAGGAGCGAAAGCGUGGGGAGCGAACAGGAUUAGAUACCCCAGUAGUCC